UACAGAGGGUGCGAGCGUUAAUCGGAACUACUGGGCGUAAAGCGUGCGUAGACGGCUAUCUAAGUCGGGUGUGAAAGCCCCGGGCUCAACCUGGGAAUUGCAUUCGAGACUGAAUAGCUAGGGUACGGUAGAGGGAAGUGGAAUUUCCGGUGUAGCGGUGAAAUGCGUAGAUAUCGGAAGGAACAUCAGUGGCGAAAGCGACUUCCUGGACCAGUACCGACGUUCAGGCACGAAAGCGUGGGGAGCAAACAGG
rnacentral:rRNA from 1 species